rnacentral:tRNA from 1 species
GGGGCCUUAGCUCAGUUGGCAGAGCGCCUGCCUUGCAUGCAGGAGGUCAGGAGUUCGAUUCUCCUAGGCUCCACC